rnacentral:rRNA from 1 species
UACGAAGGGGGCUAGCGUUGCUCGGAAUCACUGGGCGUAAAGGGCGCGUAGGCGGCGUUUAAGUCGGGGGGUGAAAGCCUGUGGCUCAACCACAGAAUGGCCCUCGAUACUGGGACGCUUGAGUAUGGUAGAGGUUGGUGGAACUGCGAGUGUAGAGGUGAAAAUUCGUAGAUAUUCGCAAGAACACCGGUGGCGAAGGCGGCCAACUGGACCAUUACUGACGCUGAGGCGCGAAAGCGUGGGGGAGCAAACAGG